rnacentral:rRNA from 1 species
GCCAGACUCCUACGGGAGGCAGCAGUGGGGAAUAUUGGGCAAUGGGCGCAAGCCUGACCCAGCAACGCCGCGUGAAGGAAGAAGGCUUUCGGGUUGUAAACUUCUUUUCUCAGGGACGAAUAGAUGACGGUACCUGAGGAAUAAGCCACGGCUAACUACGUGCCAGCAGCCGCGGUAAUACGUAGGUGGCAAGCGUUAUCCGGAUUUACUGGGUGUAAAGGGGGUGUAGGCGGGGACGCAAGUCAGAUGUGAAAACCGCGGGCUCAACCUGUGGCCUGCAUUUGAAACUGUGUUUCUUGAGUACUGGAGAGGCAGACGGAAUUCCUAGUGUAGCGGUGAAAUGCGUAGAUAUUAGGAGGAACACCAGUGGCGAAGGCGGUCUGCUGGACAGCAACUGACGCUGGGGCGCGAAAGCGUGGGGAGCAAACAGGAUUAGAUCCCCUGGUAG